AACGCUAGCGGCAGGCCUAAUACAUGCAAGUCGGUGAGGUUUUGCUAGGCUCAGAACGAACGCUGGCGGCAGGCCUAACACAUGCAAGUCGAGCGCACCUUCGGGUGAGCGGCGGACGGGUGAGUAUCGCGUGGGAACGUGCCCUUCUCUACGGAAUAGUCCUGGGAAACUGGGGGUAAUACCGUAUACGCCCUUUGGGGGAAAGAUUUAUCGGAGAAGGAUCGGCCCGCGUUGGAUUAGGUAGUUGGUGGGGUAAUGGCUCACCAAGCGGACGAUCCAUAGCUGGUUUGAGAGGAUGAUCAGCCACACUGGGACUGAGACACGGCCCAGAAUCCUACGGGAGGCAGCAGUGG
rnacentral:rRNA from 1 species